GACGAACGCUGGCGGCGUGCUUAACACAUGCAAGUCGAGCGGUAAGGCCCUUUCGGGGGUACGACGAGCGGCGAACGGGUGAGUAACACGUGGGUGACCUGCCCUCAGCUCUGGGAUAAGCCUGGGAAACCGGGUCUAAUACUGGAUAUGACUCCAUGACGCAUGUUGUGGGGUGGAAAGCCUUGUGCGGCUGAGGAUGGGCCCGCGGCCUAUCAGCUUGUUGGUGGGGUGAUGGCCUACCAAGGCGACGACGGGUAGCCGGCCUGAGAGGGCGACCGGCCACACUGGGACUGAGACACGGCCCAGACUCCUACGGGAGGCAGCAGUGGGGAAUCUUGCGCAAUGGGCGAAAGCCUGACGCAGCGACGCCGCGUGAGGGAUGACGGCCUCGGUGUAACUAC
rnacentral:rRNA from 1 species